rnacentral:lncRNA from 1 species
CGUGACAGCGUUUCGAGGCGGACAUAUAUACCGGUGGCACCGCCUCCUUCCUUCCUUUUGCUGAGCCGGCGUGUGCAGUGCGGUAGGGUUGUGGCUCGCCAUGAUACAUCAAGCAAGGUCUUCCUUCCCUGGUAACUACAAAACUGCAGACCAAGACCUGAUGCCACUUGCUAAGGUUUUAAUGGAGGAAGUUGGAAGCCCUAUAGAAGGAAGAUUCUCUGGCCUGGAAGGUGAAUCCUGACUAUGAAAGGCUGUGUUAAAUUGGCUUUG